AAAGUCAAGAUUUCCCUAACCAGACCAGUCUGGUUCCUCCUGGACCAGAUGCAGCAGUUGCUCAGACCCAUGGCUUGCCUUCCUAUGUGACAGAUCUGCUGUGAUCGUUGUGCUUCUGACAGGAAUGCAACAAAACUGGAACAGCCAGAUCAAAAUCAUCCAGUGCCUCUGGGAGCCUACAGCAGGGGAGAAGUGGCUUGGAAGGGAGUGAACAGCGAGAGAGGGCAAGGGCAGGAGAGCAAGGAAGUUCCCAGACUUCAUUCCCUGCCCCAAGGGCAAACCUGGCCUCUGUGGUGCUGGAUGCAUCCUGCAUACCUGGGACUCCAAGGUCACAUCUCCCACCUGUUGUCAUGGGACUUCCAUGGCGUCCAACGUCAUUGCCUCUGAGAUGACCCCAGCUCUUCCCAUCUAUUUCCAGCUGCAAAAGUCACUUUUGCUGUGUGGUCCAUGGACUCAGAGCAGGAGAAGAUAAAAUGCUGAAAUAAUAGCUCUGAAGAUCAUUUAGUGGUCAGCAGGAGGAAAUGUUCACACAGAGAAAAUACCUUGUACGGAUCUGCUGGCAGCAUGGGAGCUGGGGCAGAGAAGUGGGUGCAUGGCACUGGACAGUGGGGAGAGUGGGCUGAGGAGGGUUUGGAGGGCAGGCUCGAUACUGGGGCAAGAGUGCUGAGUGACUGGGAAAACAAGCUCCAUUUGGAGUUCGUGACAGUUCUCUACUGGGCUCUUAACAUUACUUACCAUUUGGAAGAGUGAGCCAACGUGGGCACACCAGGGCAAACCCUUCCUACACGUACACAUACACACUAGUGCUUUUCCAGGCCACUUUACAAGCAGCCUGGCAGUAACGUGGUCUUUAGAGAGUGCCAAACCCCUCUCAUCUCCUGCUUCUCACUUACAAAUGACCUUCAGUACAUGUGGUGGGGUUAAGAUGCAAAGGAAGCAACUUCUGCAAUUUCAUCCAAGACAUUGCUCAAGAUAAGCAAUAUAAAUGUAAGGUGGAGAGGGAUAAUCUACAAAGGGAAUGACAAAAGGCACCCUCAAGAAGAUUAAAAACAGGCUGUCAGCAAGUGCUUAGAACACAACAGGCUCUCACAAAACGCUGGUAAUUGCAGAAGGGACAAAACCCAACAAGAGCAAAACCUGAAAAUGGCGAUGGAUGGUGAGGCAUCAUGGGUGACACUGGAAGCUUUCAGACACUGUUUAGACAUUUCUAAAAGGUAGCAGGUCUGAGGAUGAUGUUGCAGGAUGUAUUUUGUGUUCUUACUGUGAUCAAUAUUGGCCCCAUAUGUAAGUGGGGAAGCCUUGAAGCUCUGGUUACCCUGCCUGACAGAGCUUAAAAGGACAGUGAAAGCUAGAGAGAGGAAGAAAACUGGGACGAGGCAGAUGGCAGCAUAUAAAAUAAGACAAUCUGUGUCUUAGAAGUGCCUUAUUCUCUCCUUUGCUUAUAGAGGUGCCAAUUCAGGUAUAGACAUUUCUCUGUGUAGACCUUAAAUUAGACAAGAAGGAUUUGUCCCAAAUCAUUCACACACUCCCUGUCAUUGAGGUUGAUGUGGCCCUGGUCAUGCACUGAAGAUCCACCAAAAGAUUCUGCCUUUCUCUCAGUGUAGCCAUGGGUUUCUGGCUGCUGCUGCGUCUCUGCCAUAGUUGGAUGGAUGGUUUAUUUGCUUGUGCAUUCGCUCCCAAUUUCUUCCCAGGUGAAGCAUGUCAGACCUAAAUAGGAAAAGUCUAUUGUAUGUUUUAAGUGAAUGCAGCUUUUUUUCAGCUGAAUUGUGUUAUGGAAUGAUGUCACGGGCAGUCCAUCUAUCUACGGUGCUCACUAAGCACGGAAAGUGGAGGGCAAGUGCCAUUAAGGGGGUGGUCACCUGGGGUCCAGGCCAAUAAGGAGCAGCAGAACCACUUCACCAGGUCUUAAGCGACAUCUCUGUUGAGUUCAGCGUGGAAGGCUGCCCCAGUGCUCUAGGAAGGCUUCCAGCCCCAACUGCUUGCAAUGCUCUGGGGAUUUCUUGCUCCAGGAUCAUGGGUGCUUUUCAACAUGUGUUCAGAACAGCCCAAACACACUGCUGCUGCUCGUGGGUGGUCAUAAACCUUUCAGUUCUGAAACAACAGACAACCCCCCAGGGGCAGUGGGGACAGACCAGUUGUUUCUAGCACUGCUGCUCUGUAUUUGGGUGUCAAAUUCUGCCAAAGGCCAGUUUCAGGCAUCUGUGUGUCCUCUGUAUCUGUCACUUGGCAGAGAAAUAAUAAUGUACUGAGAGAGAGCCCAGCCUUGGGUGCUGCUCCUAUUCUCCAGCACUAGCCCAGUUUUCACUUUUUGUGUGUUUACCGAACAGAGGAAAGUAAGUUUCAACAGUAGCUUGCAAAGUCUAGGGACAUUCAUCAAGCAAAUUUUAACUUGUACUGAGCUAAGAUUAGAAAGGAUUAGGUUUGUGCUGUUUUGUCAUUCAUCAAAUGUAAAUAAAGCCCCAAACUCUUGAGCUUUCUUAACCCACAUGUAGCUAACGGUAGGAAAAAAAAAGAGGAGCUCUUGAUGAGUGAAAAUCAGCAACACUUUCUUAUAAAAUAAGCCAGUCCCUAAAGAAAGCAGCCAAAGGCACAGGGUUUUAAAAUAAAAUGUUGGACAGU
ensembl:lncRNA